rnacentral:lncRNA from 10 species
UGAGACCAAUGACUAACAUCAUCUUGGGAGUGAUUAUUAUUCAGUGAGAUCAAAUGAUCAGGAAGCCAAUACUCAGAGGGGUUAACAAUCUGCCUAAGAUCAGUAACACAGAUAAUUGCUGGAGAAGCUAUAAAGAGAGCCCAGGUUUCCUGACUCCAAGUCCAGAGUGCAUUCCACAGGACAUGAUGGAGGUGCUGCUGACAUUAUCAGGAGAGAGGAACUGGUGAAGAAAGUGAAGGGGGCAAAAUCUUGUCUAAUAUUCAGCACUGCGGGCAGUCAAGUACCAGGCCUAAAAGACUGAGAAUCAGGAUGCUGCCAUGCUACACAAAUCAAGGGAAGACAAUGUCAGGAACUAACCCAAUGUGUCAAAUGUUGUACAGAUGUCAAACAGAACAAACGACGUCUCUCUUCCUAGAAAUCAGAAUAAAGCUAGUAACCUUUGAGACAAUUUUUGUAGAGUAGUAGAGGCCAAAGUUAGACUAUUGUGAACUUCACUAAAGUGAAGAGUAAAGCAAGGGGACGAAACUGAAGGCAGCCAAGACAGGACAAUUUUUCUCAAGAGACUUAAUAGUGAGACAUAGCAGGAUCAAAACAAGAAUUUGUACAAGCACACUUCACAUGCCCAUUUUCUUGCCUACAGGAGAGAUGGAGAAAUUAAAAAUUUCAAAGUGAAAGGUGUCAACUUUAUCCUAAUAUUGCUC